GACUGGAUGGCCGAGCGGUCAAGGCGCCAGGGUAAGGUCCUGGUCUACGAAAGUGGGCGCGAGUUCGAAUCUCGUUUCAGUCA